AGAAAAAUUUGAUUUUAGUUUUGGUUUAUUUUAAAAAUUAUAUGAAUAAUUAUUAAUAAUUUGGUUUCAGUAAAAAAAAUUAAUAAAUAUAAUUUAUUUUUAAUUUAGUUAUAGAAUAAAAAUAGAUUAAUAUUUGUGCCAGCAUUCGCGGUUAAACAAUUUAUUUAAGUCAAUUUUAUAAGUUUAUAAUAUGUUAUAUUAAUUUAAUAUUUAUUUAUUUAGGUGGAAUUUAUAAUUAAAAUUAAUUUUUAAUAAUUAUUUUAUUAAGUUUAAAUUUUAAACUAGGAUUAGAUACCCUAUUAUUUUAAAGGUAAAUUUUUAACUAGAAUAUUAUUAGUUAUGUUUUUUGAAACUCAAAAAAUUUGGCGGUAAUAUAUCUAUUUAGAGGAAUCUGUUUUAUAAUUGAUAAACCACGAUAUUAUUCACUUUAUUUUUACUUGUAUAUCGCUAUACAUAGAUUGUUCUUUAAGGAAAUUUUCAUUAACUUUAAAGAAUUAAGUUAGGUCAAGGUGCAGUUUUUAUAAAGUAAAAAUGGAUUACUAAAAUUUUAAAUUUUAAAGGAAAAAGUAUUUAUUUUAUUUUUGAAUGAGGAUUUAACAGUAAAUUUAUCUAAUUUGUUAUUUUGAAUAAAGCUCUAUAUUAUGCACAUAUCGCCCGUCACUCCUAAUUAAAUUAGGAUAAGUCGUAACAAAGUAAUUUUACCGGAAGGUGAGGUUAGAUAGA
rnacentral:ncRNA from 1 species